rnacentral:rRNA from 1 species
UACGGAGGGGGCUAGCGUUGUUCGGAAUUACUGGGCGUAAAGAGCUCGUAGGUGGUUUGUCGCGUUGUCCGUGAAAACUCACAACUCAAUUGUGGGCGUGCGGGCGAUACGGGCAGACUGGAGUACUGCAGGGGAGACUGGAAUUCCUGGUGUAGCGGUGGAAUGCGCAGAUAUCAGGAGGAACACCGGUGGCGAAGGCGGGUCUCUGGGCCGAUACUGACGCUGAGGAGCGAAAGCGUGGUGAGCGAACAGG